rnacentral:rRNA from 1 species
UACGUAGGGGGCAAGCGUUGUCCGGAUUUAUUGGGCGUAAAGAGCGUGUAGGCGGUCAGGUAGGUCCGUUGUGAAAACUCGAGGCUCAACCUCGAGACGCCGAUGGAAACCAUCUGACUAGAGUCCGGAAGAGGAGAGUGGAAUUCCUGGUGUAGCGGUGAAAUGCGCAGAUAUCAGGAAGAACACCAGUGGCGAAGGCGGCUCACUGGCCCGAUACUGACGCUGGAGGUGCGAAAGCGUGGGGAGCAAACAGGA